ACUUUCUUGUCGGAGUGCCUAGUACAUAAAUAUGUGCAGGCUGAGACCGUUAAUUCGGGAUCCGCGGAACCUGAUCGGGUUAAUACCUGCGAAGGGAACAAGAGUAAUUAUUUA
rnacentral:ncRNA from 2 species